UGGGGGAUCGUUCAAUGGUAGGACACCGGACUCUGACUCCGUGAAUAGAGGUUCGACUCCUCUUCCCCCAGCCA
rnacentral:tRNA from 1 species